CAGGUUGAAGGUGCGGUAAAACGCACUGGAGGACCGAACCAGGGCACGUUGAAAAGUGCUUGGAUGACUUGUGGGUAGCGGAGAAAUUCCAAUCGAACUUGGAGAUAGCUGGUUCUCUCCGAAAUAGCUUUAGGGCUAGCCUCGGAAUCAAGAAUCGUGGAGGUAGAGCACUGUUUGGACUAGGGGCCCAUCUCGGGUUACCGAAUUCAGAUAAACUCCGAAUGCCAUGUAUUUAUAUCCGGGAGUCAGACUGCGAGUGAUAAGAUCCGUAGUCGAAAGGGAAACAGCCCAGACCACCAGCUAAGGUCCCAAAAUAAUUGUUAAGUGGAAAAGGAUGUGGGGUUGCACAGACAACUAGGAUGUUAGCUUAGAAGCAGCUAUUCAUUCAAAGAGUGCGUAAUAGCUCACUAGUCGAGUGACCCUGCGCCGAAAAUGUACCGGGGCUAAAACAAUUUACCGAAGCUGUGGAUACCUUUAUAGGUAUGGUAGGAGAGCGUUCUAUGUGUGAAGAAGGUGUACCGUGAGGAGCGCUGGAACGCAUAGAAGUGAGAAUGCCGGUAUGAGUAGCGAAAGACAGGUGAGAAUCCUGUCCACCGUAAGACUAAGGUUUCCAGGGGAAGGCUCGUCCGCCCUGGGUUAGUCGGGACCUAAGGAGAGACCGAAAGGUGUAUCCGAUGGACAACAGGUUGAUAUUCCUGUACUAGAGUAUAUAGUGAUGGAGGGACGCAGUAGGCUAACUAAACCAGACGAUUGGAAGUGUCUGGCCAAGCAGUGAGGUGUGAUAUGAGUCAAAUGCUUAUAUCUAUAACAUUGAGCUGUGAUGGGGAGCGAAGUUUAGUAGCGAAGUUAGUGAUGUCACACUGCCAAGAAAAGCUUCUAGCGUUAAACAUACUCUACCCGUACCGCAAACCGACACAGGUAGUCGAGGCGAGUAGCCUCAGGUGAGCGAGAGAACUCUCGUUAAGGAACUCGGCAAAAUGACCCCGUAACUUCGGGAGAAGGGGUGCUGGCUUUGAGUCAGCCGCAGUGAAUAGGCCCAAGCAACUGUUUAUCAAAAACACAGCUCUCUGCUAAAUCGUAAGAUGAUGUAUAGGGGGUGACGCCUGCCCGGUGCUGGAAGGUUAAGAGGAGUGCUUAGCAAUAGCGAAGGUAUGAAUUGAAGCCCCAGUAAACGGCGGCCGUAACUAUAACGGUCCUAAGGUAGCGAAAUUCCUUGUCGGGUAAGUUCCGACCCGCACGAAAGGCGUAAUGAUUUGGGCACUGUCUCAACGAGAGACUCGGUGAAAUUUUAGUACCUGUGAAGAUGCAGGUUACCCGCGACAGGACGGAAAGACCCCAUGGAGCUUUACUG
rnacentral:rRNA from 1 species